UUCCUUAUUCUCUCACCUCACAUCACAACCUCCUCUUUCUUCGUCUUCUUUCUCGCUCUUCUUUUCUUCAAUGCUCCGCUAUGUUUUUUCUCUGAUUUGAAGGAGGUCCGCUACCACACUUUCUCUGAUUUGAAGGAGGGUCGAUCGAUUUAUGAGCCAAUCACCGUCGAGGUUUUCGUUUUAGGGAGUAUCUCAAGCACCUACAGAAGUUAAUUUGAAGCGUUUUGUUAAAGAGCUAAAUCUGGAUAUCGACAUAUCGUUGAAGCUGAAAAAAAAGGAUUCAAUUCCAUCAAGAAAAGGGUGGCAGACAACUUCUUAGGGUUAUGAGAUUUGAGUUUGAGUUCCAGAUUUGAAGUUGGUUUCGAUCCAAAAACCAGAUUUAAAGUCCGUUUUGGUUCCAGUUUUUGUUGUGGAGUUUAAAGUGUACA